rnacentral:rRNA from 1 species
AACAGGAUUAGAUACCCUGGUAGUCCACGCCCUAAACGAUGUCGACUAGGUGUUCGGUGAGGAGACUCAUUGAGUACCGCAGCUAACGCGUGAAGUCGACCGCCUGGGGAGUACGGUCGCAAGAUUAAAACUCAAAGGAAUUGACGGGGACCCGCACAAGCGGUGGAUGAUGUGGAUUAAUUCGAUGCAACGCGAAAAACCUUACCUACCCUUGACAUGUACGGAACCCUGCUGAGAGGUGGGGGUGCUCGAAAGAGAGCCGUAACACAGGUGCUGCAUGGCUGUCGUCAGCUCGUGUCGUGAGAUGUUGGGUUAAGUCCCGCAACGAGCGCAACCCUUGUCAUUAGUUGCUACGCAAGAGCACUCUAAUGAGACUGCCGGUGACAAACCGGAGGAAGGUGGGGAUGACGUCGAGUCCUCAUGGCCCUUAUGGGUAGGGCUUCACACGUCAUACAAUGGUCGGUACAGAGGGUUGCCAAGCCGCAG